GACGAACGCUGGCUGCGUGCCUAAUACAUGCAAGUCGAACGCAGUGGGGACGGGUGAGUAACACGUGGGUAACCUCCCAUCAGAGGGGAUAACACUUGGAAACAGGUGCUAAACCGAUACUGCUGGAUGGACCCGCGGUGCAUUAGCUAGUUGGGUGGGUAACGGCUCACCAAGGCCACGAUGCAUUUCCGACCUGUGAGGUGGAUCGGCCAUACAGGGACAGGGACGCGGCCCAGAGUCCUACGGGGGUGAGCAGUAGGGAAGCUUCGGCAAUUGACGAAGGUGUGACCGAGCAACGCCGCGGGAGUGAAGAAGGUUUUCGGAUCGUAAAACUCUGUUGUGAGAGGAGCGGUAUCUAACCAGAAAGCCACGGCUAACUACGUGCCAGCCGCCGCGGUAAUAC
rnacentral:rRNA from 1 species